rnacentral:tRNA from 1 species
GAGGGUAUAGCUCAGUGGUAGAGCACAUGUUUAGCAUGCACGAGGCCCUGGGUUUAAUCCCCUGUACCUCCA